CCCCCAUCUCGCAUCAUGUCUCCCAGCCAGUCUCUGCGUUGUCUCUUCACUUCGCACCAGCAAAUAAACUGGAGAACAUUCCUCCAGGGUGAGUGGGGUUUAAUGGGGUUGGAUGUGUCGUAUAUUACUAUAUUACAAAGGACAUAUUGAAAUAUGUUUCUGCACCCCCAAUCCACAACACUGUUGACAGUAGUUUGCUUGAUGGGAAUUAAAACAAGCUGGAAACCGAAAAGCGAAAUCGGUUGAGAAAGCCAAACUGUUACACAGCGUAUCAUGUGGUAUUCAACGGACCAAUUAGAGCAUAAAGGGGGCGGGGCUACGGAAUCGGGAGUUGCGGAGAGGUUGUCCUCACGUCACUGCAGACAUUUUUUGUGCUUGCUUAAGCAAAAUACACUUGCCUAGCCUUUUCGUAGCUUCAGAUAAUAGCUUGUGCUAGCUAAGCAAAGGACAUGGGCUUGGAUUUCGUAGCAUCAUCUUCAAUUCCCUGGGAACCACACAAAAUAAAUAAUCAGACGCCAGAGUUUGGCACUGGAACCGUACUUUAUGUGGAUGUAAAAAGAAUAAAGAAAGGGAAAAUAAAUAGAAUAGCCUAAAUAUUUGGUCGGGCGGGAACAAAUUUCAGUUGGUUUAGUGUUGAUCGUGAGCUGGGAUGUCUUCACUGUUUUUUCCCCCACGCCAUCGACCACAACAUGCCAGUGGUGAGGGUCUCUUCCAAAGAAACAUCUCUCACACACACACACACACACACACACACACACACACACACACACACACACACACACACACACACACACACACACACACACACAGAAACCCAGGGAUAGAACGGAAGUAUUUGGGUCUUGUUUCUCUCCAUGUGCAGGUUUGGCAUCACGGGUGUGGUCUGGGUAUAGUGGACGUGUCCCCAGAUGACUAUAUUUGGCUAUAUUGGGCCUUUCCAACGUGCAAUUACCCCAAAGGGUCCAAGUUUAGGUCGGUUAUUUCCGUAAUUAUUCUCAGUUAAAUUCCUCCAAAUCAGAAUUUGAUGUGACUCAACCGUAAAUGCGCACUUGCCAUCAAAUCUUUAAUUAGUCCCAAGUGUGGAAAAUAAUCAGGUUAUAAUUUUCCCAAUAUUAUUAACUUGAAACUUAUCUUCUGGAAGAAAAUAUUCCCCUGCAAGGCUUCCAUGUUUGGGUCAUGUUUGUUUACUUCAACCUCUGACUCACUUGAAAUGGUUUUCCUUCAACCUUGUCAUUAUCCCUCUAUAAAAAGGUAAAUCAAGAGGCUUCAGCCUUGCGAGCAAAAGCACUUUGGUGAAACCAGUCGGGGACAGGAGGUCAACAGAGGCUCUAGGCCGUCUGACUCCGGUCUGUAAAACCACCGAAAACAAUGCUGCUGAAAAGUAAAAGAAAAAACACAAGCUACCCUGUCUGCUCGUGGUGGGAGAGUCCAAGGUUUGGAAGAAAAAAAAAAAAAAUCCCUCACAGAAUGUCUGGGAAAAAGAAAGACUUCAAUGUAAUGGGGGUGAGGGGGGAGAGGGGGAGAGGGGGAAGGUCCGAUCCACCGUUUAAAGUGGGGUUGUAAAACAUAAAAUGAGGCAGAGACCCAAAGACCACAAAAAAGCACACACACACACACACAGGCUAAAACAACAGACGUUGUGAGUUUAAUUAAAACACAGGCCGACCGGCGUCCCGCCUCCACACAGCGGGGAUGGGGGUUGGGGGGGGGGGGGUAGGGGUUUGACAUCAGAGAAUGAGCAAGCAAGAGAAAGAGACUAACGAUUGUGAGGUAGAAGGUUUUGAUCCAUGUGGCAGAGGAACAGAAAACAGAGGAAGACGGCAAAACGUUAGCCCUGUUGUGUUAGCGCUGGAAUGCUCGAGUGGGGAAAAAGGAAACUCAAGUCGGGUGCAUCCUCCACUAGGCAACGCUGCUUAACCCCAAUAAAACAACGCCACCGGCGGCCUGCAUCUCCACGGCAACGCUUGAAGGCCAUUCACCGGUUGUUCCAAGGCCGUAAAAACGUACAAAAAAUAAAAAUGAGUCACAGAAACCCACCAAAAAGGUAAUGACUACGAAACACGCGGAAAUACACCUCAUGUUUGAUCGCCUGGUGAAGAAGUCCGAUCGCAUUAGUGUCUCUUCUACGCAUGUUUUCUCCUUCCUCGUCCACUUGAUUUACUGGCCCUGGCUGUGAGGGGCUUCCAGUCAUGGGGGGGACAAAGGAAAGCAGUUCCCAUCCGACAUGCACACCCCAACUAACUCAGACACCAGCCAGCUCCAUCACACUUUAACUGCGGGCGCCAUUGUGCUCACACACACCAGGGUAAUUUUACAGACAAGCCCACACACACACACACACACACACACACACUGUCUGGUGAAUUUGUGGUUAGUGACGCAGAGCUUCUUUAAACCGAAAGAGUUCUGUGUUUACAGUCUGGGUAACGCUGCCCCAGUAUACACAGGUGCAUUCGAAUCGGCCGGAAGAGCUACACAAAAGGGAUACAACUGACCAAUGGGAAGAGCGGAACUAUUGUGUCGGUUGUGCAGUUUUAUGUAGGAGCCAGAUUGUUUAUCCAUCAGCUGCCGAUGGGAAUGCAGGAAUCUGAAACUGGCCUUUCACACCUCGAGUUUUCCUUGGAUGAACUGCAAAGAGCAAAAAAAAAAACACACAACCUCACUUCAGCAACUUAUCCGGGGCCCGUCUGUAUCUGGCUGUCCAGGUCUACACACGACCGGCUCUGUCUGCAACUGAUCCGGGGCCUGUCUGUGUCUGGCGGUUCAGGUCUCUACACUUGGACCGGCUCUGUGCGCGCGGCCUUCUGCUCCUCCACCACACACAGUUUUCCAGAGAGCUGUGUGGAGCGCAGACCUCUGCAUCAGCAACGUGCCCGGGGGCCAGACCGCAAGACGGACACGACCCGUCUACCAUGGUGCCCGCCAUCCCUCUUCCUCGCUUCUUCACUCUUCUUCAAACCCCUUCGUCCUCGAACCCUUCACAUGACUGAUCACUACUGUAAUAUUCUGCUGCGCUUGGCAACCACGCAUGGGAGCCAUUUACACACACGCACGCACACACUAAACAGUGGUUCAAGUUUUAUUACAAAUGCAGCGUUUUUUACAUGGGAGGAGACAUUUCCGAAGGCAUUUAUGCUGCGGAGACAGUAUCUGCGGAGGCUUUGCCAAUCGCUCAUCGAGAAAUACUUCUUCACCACAAAACUCGCCCGGAAUUGAUCCUUUUCCCCCCUGCUUAACCGUCCUCCAGCUUCCCAUCGCUCAGCUUGCAGCUCUCGUUUUGCUGUGCGUACUGGAGCUACGGGGCACUAGGAAGAGCAGAGAGGAGUAUUUGAACACUGCGCUUUGUGGGACCACCAAACCCAAUCAGUGUUAACCAUUCACCAGACCUGGGUAGACUCAAGGGCGGCCAUUAUUAUGUACAUUCACAGAGUAGCGCCUUGGUCAGAGCCAGUGAGCGACAGGGUUACGGAACCAACUUGAAAGGGGUGGGCUCCCCCACCCCCCCCACCCGUCCUUCUCCCUCCCUCUCCCGUCAGCCUGACCCCGACCCUAACCCCCCCCCCCAAGGUCCCACCCACUCAGCUUCAACCACCAG
ensembl:lncRNA